UCGUCACACUAUCAUUAACUGAAUCCAUAGGUUAAUGAGGCGAACCGGGGGAACUGAAACAUCUAAGUACCCCGAGGAAAAGAAAUCAACCGAGAUUCCCCCAGUAGCGGCGAGCGAACGGGGAGGAGCCCAGAGCCUGAAUCAGCAUGUGUGUUAGUGGAAGCGUCUGGAAAGGCGCGCGAUACAGGGUGACAGCCCCGUACACAAAAGCGCAUGUGCUGUGAGCUCGAUGAGUAGGGCGGGACACGUGGUAUCCUGUCUGAAUAUGGGGGGACCAUCCUCCAAGGCUAAAUACUCCUGACUGACCGAUAGUGAACCAGUACCGUGAGGGAAAGGCGAAAAGAACCCCGGCGAGGGGAGUGAAAAAGAACCUGAAACCGUGUACGUACAAGCAGUGGGAGCACAGGUUUACCUGUGUGACUGCGUACCUUUUGUAUAAUGGGUCAGCGACUUAUAUUCUGUAGCAAGGUUAACCGAAUAGGGGAGCCGGAGGGAAACCGAGUCUUAAUUGGGCGUUAAGUUGCAGGGUAUAGACCCGAAACC
rnacentral:rRNA from 1 species